AUUGAACGCUGGCGGCAUGCCUUACACAUGCAAGUCGAACGGUAACGCGGGGCAACCUGGCGACGAGUGGCGAACGGGUGAGUAAUGUAUCGGAACGUGCCCAGUUGUGGGGGAUAACUGCUCGAAAGAGCAGCUAAUACCGCAUACGACCUGAGGGUGAAAGCGGGGGAUCGCAAGACCUCGCGCAAUUGGAGCGGCCGAUAUCAGAUUAGGUAGUUGGUGAGGUAAAGGCUCACCAAGCCGACGAUCUGUAGCUGGUCUGAGAGGACGACCAGCCACACUGGGACUGAGACACGGCCCAGACUCCUACGGGAGGCAGCAGUGGGGAAUUUUGGGCAAUGGACGCAAGUCUGAUCCAGCCAUGCCGCGUGCGGGAAGAAGGCCUUCGGGUUGUAAACCGCUUUUGUCAGGGAAGAAACGCUCUGGGUUAAUACCUCGGGGUAAUGACGGUACCUGAAGAAUAAGCGCCGGCUAACUACGUGCCAGCCGCCGCCGUAACAC
rnacentral:rRNA from 1 species